rnacentral:rRNA from 1 species
UACAGAGGGGGCGAGCGUUAAUCGGAAUUACUGGGCGUAAAGGGUGUGUAGGCGGUUGUAUAAGUUAGAUGUGAAAGCCCCGGGCUUAACCUGGGAAUAGCGUUUAAGACUGUACGACUAGAGUGUUGUAGAGGAUAGUGGAAUUUCCAGUGUAGCGGUGAAAUGCGUAGAUAUUGGAAGGAACACCAGUGGCGAAGGCGACUAUCUGGACAAACACUGACACUGAGACACGAAAGCGUGGGGAGCAAACAGG